rnacentral:rRNA from 1 species
AAUAGAUACCCCGGUAGUCCACGCCCUAAACUAUGUCAACUAGUUGUCGGGGAAGAAAUUCCUUGGUAACGCAGCUAACGCGUGAAGUUGACCGCCUGGGGAGUACGGCCGCAAGGUUAAAACUCAAAGGAAUUGACGGGGACCCGCACAAGCGGUGGAUUAUGUGGAUUAAUUCGAUGCAACGCGAAAAACCUUACCUACCCUUGACAUGUACGGAAUUCCGCAGAGAUGUGGAAGUGCCCGAAAGGGAACCGUAACACAGGUGCUGCAUGGCUGUCGUCAGCUCGUGUCGUGAGAUGUUGGGUUAAGUCCCGCAACGAGCGCAACCCUUGCCAUUAGUUGCUACAUUCAGUUGGGCACUCUAAUGGGACCGCCGGUGACAAACCGGAGGAAGGUGGGGAUGACGUCAAGUCCUCAUGGCCCUUAUGGGUAGGGCUUCACACGUAAUACAAUGGUCGGUACAGAGGGCUGCCAACCCGCAAGGGGGUAGCUAAUCCCAGAAAGCCGAUCGUAGUCCGGAUUGUAGUCUGCAACUCGACUGCAUGAAGCCGG